rnacentral:snRNA from 1 species
GUGCUUGCUUCAGCAGUACUUAUACUAAAACUGGAACAAUACAGAGAAGAUUAGCAUGGCCCCUGAGCAAGGAUUACAUGCAAAUUCAUGAAGUGUUCCAUAUUAAA